rnacentral:rRNA from 1 species
GUGAGGAAUAUUGGUCAAUGGGCGAGAGCCUGAACCAGCCAAGUCGCGUGAAGGAAGAAGGAUCUAUGGUUCGUAAACUUCUUUUGCAGGAGAAUAAAGUGCAGGACGUGUCCUGUUUUGUAUGUACCCUGAGAAUAAGGAUCGGCUAACUCCGUGCCAGCAGCCGCGGUAAUACGGAGGAUCCGAGCGUUAUCCGGAGUUAUUGGGUUUAAAGGGUGCGUAGGUGGUUUGAUAAGUCAGCGGUGAAAGUUUGCAGCUUAACUGUAAAAAUGCCGUUGAAACUGUCGGACUUGAGUGUAAAUGAGGUAGGCGGAAUGCGUGGUGUAGCGGUGAAAUGCAUAGAUAUCACGCAGAACUCCGAUUGCGAAGGCAGCUUACUAAGCUACAACUGACACUGAAGCACGAAAGCGUGGGGAUCAAACAGGAUUAGAAACCCUGGUAGUCC